UACGAGGGGGGCAAGCGUUGUUCGGAAUUAUUGGGCGUAAAGGGCGCGUAGGCGGUUUGGCAAGUCUAGUGUGAAAUCUUCGGGCUCAACUCGAAGUCUGCACUGGAAACUGCCGGGCUUGAGUAUGGGAGAGGUGAGUGGAAUUUCCGGUGUAGCGGUGAAAUGCGUAGAGAUCAUGAGGAAGACCAGUGGCGAAGGCGGGUCUCUGGACAGUUCCUGACACUGAGACACGAAGGCCAGGGGAGCAAACGGG
rnacentral:rRNA from 1 species